rnacentral:rRNA from 1 species
UACGAAGGGGGCUAGCGUUGUUCGGAAUUACUGGGCGUAAAGCGCACGUAGGCGGAUAUUUAAGUCAGGGGGUGAAAUCCCGGGGCUCAACCCCGGAACUGCCUUUGAUACUGGGUAUCUCGAGUCCGAGAGAGGUGAGUGGAAUUCCGAGUGUAGAGGUGAAAUUCGUAGAUAUUCGGAGGAACACCAGUGGCGAAGGCGGCUCACUGGCUCGGUACUGACGCUGAGGUGCGAAAGCGUGGGGAGCAAACAGG